CAGGGGGAGUGAUUACUGUGGAAUCACUUCACCAUGAGGUGCGCUCUUUAAAGAAGAAAGUGGCAGAUCUUACUAAGAAAGUGGAUGUGGGAAUGAAGAGGAUUUUGGAGAAGCUAGGCUGUAGGCAUGACGACGUAUUUCCUACUCAGCCUACCUACACCACUUACACGAGGUCUACGUCGAGACAUCCACUCAUUCCACCAUCCAGUGGUGCUCCUGAGGCUGGAGGAUCUGGAGCUGGAGCAGGAGACGAUGAUGAUGAUGAUGACGAGGACACUGAGUGACUUCUUUCUCGAGCUUUACCUUUUUACUUUACUUUGCUUUUUAGGACGAUAUUUAGCUUAGCUUUGCUUGUUGCUUUCCUUUGAUCUGUUUACUUUUGCAUUUAUUUUCUUUUAGGCCUGUAACUAUGACAUGACUACUCUUAUGCUUUCUAAUAUGCUUUCUCUCUUUAUAUGCUUUAUUUUUGGCAAUUUUUGACAAAAAGGGGGAGAGAAAUGAUGAACAGGUAUUGAUCAUAGCAAAGGAAAAGAAGGACAAAGAUGAACAAAGGAGGAGAAGGAGUGAAAUUUCGAGAAAAAGAAUGAAUGAAAUUUCGAGGACAAUGAUGAAGAAAAUGACUUCAAUAUGAGAAUGUCGAAUGUUUGUCAGUUUCUACAUUAUUUUGGAUAAUCUGUUUUGCAGGAAAUCAAGACUUCAAGACUUCUAGUUGCGUCUAAGUCAUAGAGUUUGUUUUAGGAGUUUUUGAUGUACUUUUGAGUUUCAAAUUGUAUUUGGACUACAUGCGAGGAGUUCAAUGUUUUGGUGAUGACAAUUGAACUUCGAUUCUUAUUAUGUAAUUUUGAGUUUGUGAGUUUUGUCACGAAAUUGCCAAAGGGGGAGAUUGUUAAGUCUUAUAUGUUGGCAAGUUUCGUGAAGUGAGUCGGAGUCUUAAAGGAUCGGUGUGUAUCGUCGAAGAUCGAAGAAU
rnacentral:lncRNA from 1 species